CCUACGGGUGGCAGCAGUAGGGAAUUUUGCGCAAUGGUCGUAACCGUGAAGCAGCAACGCCGCGUGAAUGAUGAAGGUUUUCGGAUCGUAAAGUUCUUUCGUCAGAGAAGAUAAUGACUGUAUCUAACGAAUAAUCACCUGCUAAUGCCUUUCCAGCAGCCGCGGUAAUACGGAGGGUGCAAGCGGUACUCGGUAUGACUGGGCGUAAAGAGCACGUAGGCGGGAUAGCAAGUCAGAUGUGAAAGCCUAGGGCUUAACCAUAGAAAUGCAUUUGAAACUAUAAUUCUAGAGUAUCGGAGAGGAAGGUAGAAUUCUUGGUGUAGCGGUAAAAUCCGUAGAGAUCAAGAGGAAUACU
rnacentral:rRNA from 1 species